rnacentral:rRNA from 1 species
CCUACGGGUGGCUGCAGUGGGGAAUAUUGCACAAUGGGCGCAAGCCUGAUGCAGCCAUGCCGCGUGUGUGAAGAAGGCCUUCGGGUCGUAAAGCACUUUCAGCGGGGAGGAAGGCGGUGAGGUUAAUAACCUCAUCGAUUGACGUUACCCGCAGAAGAAGCACCGGCUAACUCCGUGCCAGCAGCCGCGGUAAUACGGAGGGUGCAAGCGUUAAUCGGAAUUACUGGGCGUAAAGCGCACGCAGGCGGUCUGUCAAGUCGGAUGUGAAAUCCCCGGGCUCAACCUGGGAACUGCAUUCGAAACUGGCAGGCUAGAGUCUUGUAGAGGGGGGUAGAAUUCCAGGUGUAGCGGUGAAAUGCGUAGAGAUCUGGAGGAAUACCGGUGGCGAAGGCGGCCCCCUGGACAAAGACUGACGCUCAGGUGCGAAAGCGUGGGGAGCAAACAGGAUUAGAUACCCGAGUAGUC